GAGAAUCCCGGGUCUGCUAUGUGGCCGCAGCAUGGGCUGUGGUACCCAGUGGCAGAGGUGCUGCUUGGAUGGGCCCCAGUGGAAAUAUGGGAGGCAGUAACGGGUCUCCUGCGAGUGUGGAGAAGGCACUGAAGCAGCUGGAAGCUCACAGCACCAAGAAGGAAUGCACCUUCGCUGGCGGAGUCGGAUGAGCAUUUCUGACUGCACUAGGCAGAGUACAUGCUCAGUCCCACAGGUAAGGGACCUCCCAGCGCAAGCCACGUGCCUGGGGGCCCAAGUGCACAGCUUAGACCAGGACCUGGGGGUGGGGGACCUGCAGGCACAAGCAGGGCGCUUGGAGGCCCAGAUAAGCAGCCUGGAACAGGAGUUAGCAAUGGCUGUUAGUGCGAUCUUCAGCCAGUCGUCCCAGUCAGACACUUCUGUUGGAUCUGAUGCUAAGGAGGAGGGGCUCCUUCCCUGCGGGCUCGCCCUGUGAUCCGUCAGAAGGUAGAACAUGAGGAGCCGAUGGGACCCCAGGGGAGAGCCCAGGACCCCCCACAACAGUGGUGGAACACACUUCUUAUAGUGCUUAUACCCCCACUGAGUUGCAGGAGUUGAGUAAACAGUGUUGGCAGCGCCCAGGGGAGCCCCUGCCAGCCUGGCUACUCCGUUUUUGGGAUGAGGGGGCUGAUAGCAUUUCUUGCUCUGCCUCCGAGAUGGAGAAGCUGGCCUCUAUUACAACUCACUCCUCCCUUCGUCAGACACUGCAGCUGUGCCAAUCAUUGGCACACGGGCAAGGUGUGGACAUUAAUAGAGUGGCUGAUGGCAGCCAUAUGGACUGUUUGGAAUGAUGCCAGAGAGAUAUCAAAAAUUGUGAGUAAAUGGCAAUCAUAUUCUGAUUUGGUGCAGGUACUCUGGGAGAUGGGCAGGUGACAGGCUAUGUUUUAUCUGAAUAUCCAGGGGCCAGAACGUUUUACCUCCCACAUGAGGGAUCUUGUGCUGGGCUCAGCGCCCCCGAGUGCUUUUGGCUAGAGUGCUUUUAGCACCCCCAUAUAUGGGGCACCGCAUAUAUGAAGUGACUACUGGCUGAGGUAGUAGACACAACACAGAGAAGCUCCCCACCUGGCUCUCAGCUACUAUUGUUUGUGUAGGGUAUAAAUGUAACGCUGACCCUGUGAGGGGCUGCUGAAUUGGCUUGUAGGCGAUUGGCCCAUUUGGGGCUAAGCGAUGUGGCAAGACCUCUGGGAAAUAGGUCAUCAGAAAUAGGUAACUAUUAUGUGUCAGGUCAUGUGCCUUUGGCCACCCCCUGUAAUGUUGAGGCGGAUGCCUUAGCCAAGGUCUGAUGGUUAGAGUCGGCACCUACACAAGAUGUAGCUUUGUGGCUACACAGGAAACUGGGACAGUUUCUGAACUGAUGUACUGAACUGAUGUAACAGGUCAGUAGGUACUGGGGUCUGUCUUUGCCUUCGCAGGACACUUUGGAGGCCUGCCGGAAGUGCCAGGCAUGCGCCCAGGCAUACCCCAGACGGAGACAGCUGCCCACUGUAACACAGCGAGUGACGUGGUAGAUUGGCGGCUCCAACAGCAUCGUAGACUGGGCCCACACCUACGCCGAGGUGACCAAUGUCUCCAACUGUUGGAUCUGCACCGCCCUUCCAGCAGCAGCUGCAGACAGCUGGCCCUGGCAUGUGCAUCCAGCUUCUGUGAAGAACCGGACAUAGCUAGAGACUUGAGGUCCCACAGACAAUGCGUGGGAUGCAACACAGUGGGCUUUGGAUGGGGGCAUGGCAAACCCCAUGGCGAGCCUGCCCCCUGGCUGACUCGCAGUGUCCAUGAUGAAUGGGGCUGGUUAAUGGGAAACACAUAGUGCCCCCAUUGCAGGUACCAUGAUGUAUAGAGAAGCACUGGGGUAAUGUCACUGUAGGAUGGUUGCCUGCUGAGGUUUGUGCAAAUAAAACAUGUGUCACCACACCAAGGGUGUGGAGGAACAAGCGACCUUACCAAGGCCGGGCCCCCAUGGACUUUGUGCCCCCUGGGAAUUUAUGGGU
rnacentral:lncRNA from 1 species